UGUACACACCGCCCGUCACACUAUGGGAGCUGGCCAUGCCCGAAGUCGUUACCUUAACCGCAAGGAGGGGGGUGCCGAAGGCAGGGCUAGUGACUGGAGUGAAGUCGUAACAAGGUAGCCGUACUGGAAGGUGCGGCUGGAUCACCUCCUUUUCAGGGAG
rnacentral:rRNA from 1 species